ACCUAUCUGCCAAAUUAUUUCUGUUGUGAUUAAUCAGUGAUUGUUAACUAGUUUUUAUACUAAAGAAGAUUUCAAUUAGAAUUAUUAUGGGUUGGAGUGUAGCAAAGGAGAAAGUUAAACAUUGUUUAUCACAUGUUUAAGAAAAACUUUGCAUGGGGAAUUGUCAAAGAUAUAUUUUUAAAACACUGAUCAACUUUUUUCGUAAUAGCACCAUAAGUUUUUACAAAAAAUUGUGUUCCUAAGUUAGCAUACACAUGGUUUUCUAAGAUCAAUUAAUUAUACUUACAAUACUUUUUCAGAGGUACCAAUGCACAGAUUUCCAAAUGUUAAAAAGAUUCCUGACAUGUUCCAGAGCUGGGUAAGUCUUGCUGGUGGAAAAUUGGAGUGUACGUUUGAUUAUGACUACUAUCAAAAGACCCCUAAGACAACCCACUGACCAAGAAAAGGGUUUGCAAUAUCCAAUUCACUGAUGAAGACAGAAACCGCUAUAACCGGUUAGAUUCAGUAGCUAUUCCUUCCCUUCCUACCAGGUUCUUCUGCAAGUCAAACAGCGUCGAAGCGACCCUUAACACAAUAUUUCCAUCAAGAUACCACUACCAGAAGAUGCCAGGUGUACAAACUCAACUACCUCGAAGCAAUUGUUGAUGAAGCAUAAUUAUUCUAUAAUUAGCAAGCCAAGAAUAAUGACAGUCAAAGGUGCAUUCAAAACUAAUCGAACACAUUAUGUUCGACCACUGUGCACCAAGAUUAAGCAUCUUCGGCCCGAGAUAUCGUGUCUUCUCAAAAGAGGUCGAAUAUUUAAAGAAACCUGGAUGCGAGAAGCCGAAAAUCGAUCUCAGUGGCGUGCACUUGGAGAGGCCUAUGUCCAGCAGUGGACUGCAAUAGGCUGAUGAUGAUGAUGAUUUAAAGAAAGACUACGGAAUGCUGCAACACUCUUUGAGAAGGCAUCAUUCCUGCACGUUACUCAAAAUUUGAUAAAACCGGCCCAAAUCUUCAAUUACAAACUCCAAAGAAAGAUAAAGGACGAAGGUUUAGUUUAGAAGAAAAGGUAUUGGCAUUGUCUCUGCACAAAAAAAGUCCUGUCAAUGGACUUUUACAUAAAUAUUUUCCUUUACCUUCGUCAAAAACCAUGACACGGUUACUCAGCAACAUAAAGAUAACCCCUGGAAUUACAAAAUAAUUUUUGGAAAGUUAAAAAAACUGUACAAUGCUGUGCGUUGUACGGUUGUGAACCUUGGACGCUAACUAAGCAGGAUAUAAGCAGACUGGAGGCUUUUGAGAUGUGGUGCUGGAGGAGGAUGGAGAGGCUGGACGGAAAGAGUUACUAACGAGUAAGUACUUAACAGAAUAGGAACUAAGAGACAACUACUGCAAAAUAUAGAGAAUAGGAGAGGAAAAAUGACACGUUAUACGUCACGACGAUUUUAUCAAAAACAUUGUGGAAGGGAAGGUCGAAGGAAAGAGGAAGGGUCAUCCAAGGUAUAGCUACAUCAAGCAAAUUAAAGAAAAGGUGAAGGUUGUGACGUAUAAGGAAGUUCAGGAGUUGGCGCUAGAUAGUUGUAAAUGGAAGGAGCUGCACCGACAAGAGUUAGCCGAGAGAGAGAGCCGAAAUGGAAAGACAGCUUGCUACUAGAGCUCAAGAGGAAGCCAGUGUUCAGGUGAUAAGAUUGACGUUUUUUUGGCUUUAUUUUUGAAUGAAACAAUAUAUGGCUUACUCAAUUAUCUAUUCACUAUUGGACAUUAACCAUAGAAGACAAAUGAGGGCCUACGAUCAUGUGUAUAAAUACAUAGCUAUAUGCGACAGUGUUAAACCAAACAUUGCAAUGUCGCAUGCAGUGCCAGAUCAGACGCCUGAACGACAACUUUGAGCAGGCACAGCUUCGCAUUCUGGGACUUCAAACCCGGGUCCGGGCCCUCAGGAGAACUGUAGAUCUAGAAGGAGAGACGAACCACAGAAGUGCACCUGUAAAUCCUUCUUCGAUAACCCUUGAAACUAGAUUAAACUUAAAACUUACUUUUAAAUGUCUUGUCUGUAAGUGUCAGAAAUCAAUAUUAUGUACAUAGGUAUACUGUAAAUGCUCAAAAAUGUCGUGUGAAAUGUUGUAGAUUUUGAAAGGGACCGUGUACUGUUUGAAUGUUAUUAUCACAUCUGAGGAACUCCUCGAGCUGAUCUGAGCAGCAGCAUUGCUUUGUCUAGGUGGUAGUGAUAUUAUGCCCGUUGUGUCCCAAAUUGAAACGUUUCAUCGAAAUAAAGCAAACUGGAUUAAACUUA